GUGGGGGAUAUUGCACAAUGGGGGAAACCCUGAUGCAGCGACGCCGCGUGGAGGAAGAAGGUUUUCGGAUUGUAAACUCCUGUCGUAAGGGACGAUAAUGACGGUACCUUACAAGAAAGCCACGGCUAACUACGUGCCAGCAGCCGCGGUAAAACGUAGGUGGCAAGCGUUGUCCGGAAUUACUGGGUGUAAAGGGAGCGCAGGCGGGAAAUCAAGUUGGAUGUGAAAUGUCGGGGCUUAACCCCGGAACUGCAUCCAAAACUGAUAUUCUUGAGUGAAGUAGAGGUAGGCGGAAUUCCGAGUGUAGCGGUGAAAUGCGUAGAUAUUCGGAGGAACACCAGUGGCGAAGGCGGCCUACUGGGCACCAACUGACGCUGAGGCUCGAAAGUGUGGGUAGCAAACAGGAUUAGAAACCCUAGUAGUCC
rnacentral:rRNA from 1 species